UAGACAUUUCAUAGAAGUUCAAAAGUGCAAAAUGAAUUAAAUCUUCACCUACCCAUUGUUCAAAGCUCCUCUAUUUUCUACAGAAAAAUGAAAAUGUGUGUCUGGAGGAGGGAUGGCCAAUAUAUAUCUGCAAAGAGAUGACAACUUGAAGCAUUUCUCCUGAAUAAUAUAGAACAUAGACACAAGGGACAUACUUUUCAGAUUAUUCGGCAUACAAAAACUGAGCUCAUUUAUUCACAGAAUUAUCAAAUGCAUAUUGAUUGGCUUAUAGUUGUAUUCCUAAUGGUUUCCACCUAAAACAUCCAAAUUUCCUUGUAAAGAUAUUACAGUGAAUAUUAGAAAAUAGCUGAGGAUAUGUGUAUGGAAAGUAGAGUUACAAGGAGAGAAGCCAAUGGGCAGUUUUCGUCUGUCAUCCCUGGCCACAGUCUGUUCUGAUGGGUAGGUUUCUUGAUAUGAUAUCCAGAAACUGAGAGAAGAAGCUGAAUUCGGUUAAACACGGAAUUAUUCUCUCACUGUCCUGCAAACACAGCUUGUACAUUUUCACACAGCUGCCUCCCCUUCCCCUACUCUGAUUGUAAUAAAUUCCCUUG
rnacentral:lncRNA from 1 species